rnacentral:rRNA from 1 species
CCACGGGUCUCCGUUGGUGAACCAGCGGAGGGAUCAUU